UUUUUCUUUUCCUCCCCGCGUGACCGAAUUCCUCCCCAACCGCGCACCGAUUUCCCCUCAUCCUUCUUCCUCCGAGCCCUAACCGGCGAUCUCUUCCACUUCUUCUUCUUCUCCUCUGCCCGAGCCGGAUCUUUCCUCUUCCUCCUUCGUCGCGACGCCCAUCUCCACUGCCAGCACUGCCGACGCACGGAGCAUUGCCGCCGGUGACGCACGGAGCACUGCCGCACACCCCGGUGCCCUAGCAUCUCCGCCGACGCCACUGACUCCUCUCGGCCGCUUCUCUGUACCGGCACCCGAACCCCAGCACCGACCCCCUUUCUCUGUGCCCUAGCAUUUCCGCCGACGCCGAGCAGCGCCGGCCUUCUUCUCCUCGCCGGCACUCAAGUCGCCGCUGUGCCCACAGGUCUCACUGAGCAGAGCCCUAGCCGACGAUCCACCAUCGCCGAUCUGCCCUUGCUGAGCUUAGUGAUCUGCCCGCAAUCACCACCGGCUGCCAAUUGAUUCUCUUCCAUCUACUUCCCAUCCCUUAGUCCCUGGUGAUGAGAUUUUCUUCCUCGCGCAUCACAGCAACAUCCGGAUUUGCAUUAAAGAGGAAGCUCGAGUUGGUAUUCGGCUCUGGCGAGGGAUUAGCUGUUUAUGGCAAAUUAGUCGGCUAGCAACACCUCUCCACUGAUCGCGGCGGUGCUCUACUACCUGCUGCCACUAUAGAGGGCAACUGUGUUGGAUGACGAUCGUCCAAUUUCCUCUCGGAUUUGAUAAGAGAUGUUUUACUUCAUCACAGCUGUAUUGGAACUAUCCACCGAGAUGUGCAAAUUUGAUUUGGACUUUGACGCGAGACGAGUAUCUCGACUACCGGUUUGGACUUUUCGAUUUGGAGGCG